GACGCGGUGGCCUAAUGGUUAGCGCGCUGGAUUCCGGAUCGAGCGAUCCGGGUUCGAGCAUUGUGUUGUGUUC